rnacentral:rRNA from 1 species
CAUGCUAAAAACCUCGACUUCGGAAGGGGUGUAUUUAUUAGAUAAAAAACCAAUGCCCUUCGGGGCUCCUUGGUGAUUCAUAAUAACUUAACGAAUCGCAUGGCCUUGUGCCGGCGAUGGUUCAUUCAAAUUUCUGCCCUAUCAACUUUCGAUGGUAUGGUCUUGGCUUACCAUGGUUUCAACGGGUAACGGGGAAUUAGGGUUCUAUUCCGGAGAGGGAGCCUGAGAAACGGCUACCACAUCCAAGGAAGGCAGCAGGCGCGCAAAUUACCCAAUCCCGACACGGGGAGGUAGUGACAAUAAAUACUGAUACAGGGCUCUUUUGGGUCUUGUAAUUGGAAUGAGUACAAUUUAAAUCCCUUAACGAGGAACAAUUGGAGGGCAAGUCUGGUGCCAGCAGCCGCGGUAAUUCCAGCUCCAAUAGCGUAUAUUAAAGUUGUUGCAGUUAAAAAGCUCGUAGUUGAACCUUGGGCCUGGUUGGCCGGUCCGCCUCACCGCGUGCACUGGUCCGACCGGGUCUUUCCUUCUGAGGAGCCGUAUGCCCUUCACUGGGUGUAUCGGGGAAUCAGGACUUUUACUUUGAAAAAAUUAGAGUGUUCAAAGCAGGCCUAUGCUCGAAUACAUUAGCAUGGAAUAAUAGAAUAGGACGUGUGGUUCUAUUUUGUUGGUUUCUAGGACCGCCGUAAUGAUUAAUAGGGAUAGUCGGGGGCAUCAGUAUUCAAUUGUCAGAGGUGAAAUUCUUGGAUUUAUUGAAGACUAACUACUGCGAAAGCAUUUGCCAAGGAUGUUUUC